CAUCAUUUAAAGAAAGCGUAAUAGCUCACUGGUCGAGUCGGCCUGCGCGGAAGAUGUAACGGGGCUAAACCAUGCACCGAAGCUGCGGCAGCGACACUAUGUGUUGUUGGGUAGGGGAGCGUUCUGUAAGCCGUUGAAGGUGGCCUGUGAGGGUUGCUGGAGGUAUCAGAAGUGCGAAUGCUGACAUAAGUAACGAUAAAGCGGGUGAAAAGCCCGCUCGCCGGAAGACCAAGGGUUCCUGUCCAACGUUAAUCGGGGCAGGGUGAGUCGACCCCUAAGGCGAGGCCGAAAGGCGUAGUCGAUGGGAAACAGGUUAAUAUUCCUGUACUUGGUGUUACUGCGAAGGGGGGACGGAGAAGGCUAUGUCAGCCGGGCGACGGUUGUCCCGGUUUAAGCAUGUAGGCGGAGGUUCCAGGUAAAUCCGGUACCUUAUUAACGCUGAGGUGUGAUGACGAGGCACUACGGUGCUGAAGUGAUAAAUGCCCUGCUUCCAGGAAAAGCCUCUAAGCAUCAGGUAACACGAAAUCGUACCCCAAACCGACACAGGUGGUCAGGUAGAGAAUACCAAGGCGCUUGAGAGAACUCGGGUGAAGGAACUAGGCAAAAUGGUGCCGUAACUUCGGGAGAAGGCACGCUGAUAUGUAGGUGAAG
rnacentral:rRNA from 1 species